rnacentral:tRNA from 1 species
GCCUGGGUGGCUUAGUUGGUAGAGCAUCUGACUCUUGAUCUCAGGGUCGUGAGUUCAAGCCCCACGUUGGGCG